GGGGGUAUAGUUUAACUGGUAAAACGGUGAUUUUGCAUAUCAUUAAUUUAGGAUCGAUUCCUAAUAUCUCCA
rnacentral:tRNA from 1 species